UUGCAGCGCACAACGUGUACGGUACAGUACGGCCGGGCCUCGUGCGUCCGUGUCCUGUCGGUGGACCGGGGAGAGAAAACGUUUCCGUGUUUUUUUUAGUCGGUUAGUUUUAGUUUUUAUAUCCAGAUUGUGAGACAUUAACGAUCUGCUGCAAAUACGGUUUAAAUACAUGAGUUACUUUACUGAGGUACCUGAACGUAUCAUUUUAUGGUAUUUAAAUAAACUACACCAAGGUAAUGUUUACUUUUAAUAUAUUUAAUAUUUAUAAGAUACAUAGAUUCAUAUUUAUAUAUUAAACUGUAUCAUCUGCUUAUAAAAUUAUACAUAUCAGGCUUGGGGAGUAAUGGAUUACAUGUAACUAAUGUCAUUUUAUGCUAUUUUAAAUAAACUUUAUCAAGGUAAUGUUGUGCUUUUUACACCAGAACAUACAUUUGACAUUUAUAAGAUACAUAGAAUCAUAUUUUUAUAUUAAACUCUAUAACCAGCUUCUAAAAAUGAUACAUUGUAAUCAAGCUUGGGGAGUAAUGGAUUACAUGUAACUAAUGUCAUUUUAUGCUAUUUAAAUAAACUACACCAAGGUAAUGUUUACUUUUAAUAUAUUUAACAUUUAUAAGAUACAUAGAUUCAUAUUUAUACAUUAAACUGUAUCCUCUGCUUAUAAAAUGAUACAUAUCAGGCUUGAGGAGUAAUGGAUUACAUGUAACUAAUGUCAUUUUAUGCUAUUUUAAAUAAACUUUAUCAAGGUAAUGUUGUGCUUUUUACACCAGAACAUACAUUUGACAUUUAUAAGAUACAUAGAAUCAUAUUUUUAUAUUAAACUCUAUAACCAGCUUCUAAAAAUGAUACAUUGUAAUCAAGCUUGGGGAGUAAUGGAUUACAUGUAAUUCAGUUACAUAGUCAGAGGACAGUCGAAUAUUUCCUGGUUUUAGUCGGUUAGUUUAGUUUUUAUAUCCAGAUUGUGAGACAUUAACAAUCUGCUGCAAACACGGUUUAAAUACAUGCUGAGUUCAACUGUAAAUAGAUACUUUACUGAGGUACCUGAAUGUAUCAUUUUAUGCUAUUUAAAUAAACUACACCAAAGUAACGUUGUACUUUUUACAUACAUUUAACAUUUAUAAGAUACAUAGAUUAAAUUAAACUGUAUCAUCUGCUUUUCAAAAUGAUACAUAUCAGGUUUGGGGAGUAAUGGAUUACAUGUAACUAAUGUCAUUUUAUGCUAUUUUAAUAAACUAAACCAAGGUAAUGUUUUUAAAUUCACUCACUCAACAGAAACAAAACACACAUGAAAUAAAAAAUGAAAUAAAACAGAAAAAUGCAAUAUAAGAUAUAAUGAAAGUAGAGUUGUAUGUAAACUAUAUACAGAUUUUUGUAUAUAAAGAUGUGAUUGAUAUGGAACAUUGAACAGGUCACAGCAUCAAUACUUACUAUUGAUAUCUGUUUUAUCUUGCUUUUAUUUACAUAUUUGGUCCCAAAGUAACAGAAAGUAAUCAAUUUAUGUUAAAAUACUUGGAUUAAAUUACUGACUACAGGUAAUUAGUAAUUAUAUAAGAUUAUAUUUUUAUAGUAGCCCUUCCAACACAGAUUGUUUUAUUGAUUAAAAUAUCUAUAAAAACUCUUGUAUUAGCGCCACCUGCCUAAUGCAUCAGUGACAGUAUUAACCAUUACAGAGCCAUUCUGCAUGAUGAGUACUUUUACUAUAAUGUACUAUUGUAUGUUUAAAGGUUGAGGAUGAUUCAAAAUGUGCAAUAAUAUUCAGAAAUUAAGAAACAAUGCAAUAAACAAAUAAUAAACAAA